UACGGGGGGGGCAAGCGUUGUUCGGAAUUACUGGGCGUAAAGGGCUCGUAGGCGGCCAACUAAGUCAUACGUGAAAUCCCUCGGCUUAACCGGGGAACUGCGUCUGAUACUGGAUGGCUUGAGUUCGGGAGAGGGAUGCGGAAUUCCAGGUGUAGCGGUGAAAUGCGUAGAUAUUAGGAAGAACACCAGUGGCGAAGGCGGCUCACUGGUCCGGUACUGACGCUGAGGUGCGAAAGCGUGGGGAGCAAACAGG
rnacentral:rRNA from 1 species